AUCUGCGAAUGGCUCAUUAAAUCAGUUAUUGUUUAUUUGAUGGUACCAUUUCAAAAGUGGACUACUUGGAUAACCGUAGUAAUUCUAGAGCUAAUACAUGCUACACUAAGCCUUGCCCUUUUGUCUUCUUUUAGGAGGUAAAAGGAAAGGGUGCAUUUAUUAGAUUCAAACCGUCGAAGCCAACAAAGCACUGGGUGAAAGGGGGCAACUCCUUUUGCUCAGACGAUGGUGAGUUAUAAUAACUAAGCGAAUCGGGGAAGUGAAACACAAGUUCAGUGCAUGUGCUUUUUAAGUACAUUGUGCCGUUCUUGUCCCGAUGCUUCAUUCAAAUCUCUGCCCUAUCAGCUUUCGAUGGUAGGAUAUUGGCCUACCAUGGCGAUCACGGGUAACGGGGAAUUGGGGUUCGAUUCCGGAGAGGGAGCUUGAGAAACGGCUACCACAUCCAAGGAUGGCAGCAGGCGCGCAAAUUACCCAAUCCCGACACGGGGAGGUAGUGACAAUAGGUAACAAUGCUGUUGCUGUUCAAUACAGCACGGCAAUUGGAAUGAGAGUGGCUUGAACGUGAGCAUUGUUUAAAACCAUUCUCGAGGAGCCAUUGGAGGGCAAGUCUGGUGCCAGCAGCCGCGGUAAUUCCAGCUCCAAUAGCGUAUAUUAAAAUUGUUGCAGUUAAAAAGCUCGUAGUCUGAUGGAUUUGCCUAAGGGACAGGAUAACUAAAGUUGGGAAAGGUUAAGCAAUAUGCGCCUCACGGUGCGUGUUGUUUUCUUUUCUGGCUUUGCCUGCCUUUGGGUGGGGGAAUUUCCAGCAAUGGGGGUUCCUUUCUUUUUUUCGGGCAUUUAGCAACUCUUUUGGGUUGUUGUGUGCUCGAUGGUUUACUUUGAGAAAAAUAGAGCGUUCAAAGCAGGCGUAGAUCACAAAGAGCUGGGGUUUCGCAUCAGGUCUUGAUUGCCUACCAUGUUGUGCCAAUGGAUUCUUUCUUUGCAAAGAGUUUUGUUGGUGCGAUUUGAAUGUAUUAGCAUGGGAUAAUAAAAUAGGACAUUGGUUCUGUGUUUGGACUCCGACCGUUUUGUUCUCUUUUUGGGCUUCUUGCUCAAUUAGGGAUGGUUCGAGGACCGAUGUAAUGGUCAAUAGGGACAGUUGGGGACACUCAUACUCCAUGGCUAGAGGUGAAAUUCUUGGAUUCAUGGAAGAUGAACUAGUGCGAAAGCAUUUGUCAAAGAUGUUUUCAUUGAUCAAGAACGAAAGUUAGGGGAGCAAAGACGACCAGAUACCGUCGUAGUCUUAACCAUAAACGAUGCCGACUCGGGAUUGGGGGGUGCCGCAAGCAAGGUCUUUGAAUUGGUCAAGCUUCUUUGGUUUGGCCUUUUCUUUUUGACCUUGUUUGAUUAUUGGCCCUCUCAGCACCUGGUUAUAUUCGAACACGCAAGGGAAACCGAUAAGUGGUUGGGUUCCGGGGGGAGUAUGGUCGCAAGGCUGAAACUUAAAGGAAUUGACGGAAGGGCACCACCAGGAGUGGAGUUUGCGGCUUAAUUUGACUCAACACGGGAAAACUCACCAGGUCCAGACAUGGUAAGGAUUGACAGAUUGAGAGCUCUUUCUUGAUUCCGUGAAAGGUAGCGCAUGGCCGUUCUUAGUUGGUGGAGUGAUUUGUCUGGUUAAUUCCGUUAACGAACGAGACCUUUGCCUGCUAACUAGUUGGAGGGGUGGCUUUUUUCUUCUCUUGACUUUGAAAGCUUUUCUUUUGGAAGAGCGUUUUAGAGUUCAACGAGGGAAAAAUUCAACACCACACCUUUCGUGCUUGAGUGGCUUUUCUGGUCAUUCAAGUGCCGUACAACUUCUUAGAGGGACAAUCUGCUUUUUAGCAGAGGGAAGCGAAAGGCGAUAACAGGUCUGUGAUGCUCUUAGAUGUCCUGGGCUGCACGCGUAUUACACUGACGAAUGCAACGAGUAGAUCAAGCACUUGUGAAAAACAAAGGGUUUCGAGGACCUCUGUGUCUUCUUAACCUUUUUCGCUCGUGUGACCUUGGCAGAAAUGUCUGGGGAAUC
rnacentral:rRNA from 1 species